rnacentral:lncRNA from 1 species
UUUUGUGUAAUGAAGGAUAUUACUCCUUCCCUAUGUUUUCAGAGAUUUUGCCUUCUUUCUAUUUUACCUGCUUAGUUCUCUUGCAUAAACAUAAUUGGAUGUCUUUGUCUCGCAUGGAAAACACGUGGGGCCAUGAAUUUGGCUAUUAUGGUUUCUGCAGCGGAAAGCUGUUAGUGAUUAUUGCCAUACUUUAGUCGUAGUUGUAAAUAGUAGUCCCAAACAGAGGUACUAUCUCAGAAUUGUCAUGAAGCAGCCAGAGUACCCUACAGAAAUUGAACAGCGUUAUGGCUAAAUAAUAGAAAAUUGUAGCCGAGGAAGGCUAUUGGAGUGGAUCAACAAAUACAUAUUUGAACUAUAAAACAGCAUUAUUCAGAGCUGCUUUAGAGGGGAAAAUUUUGGAUUUUGCCUUCCUCCUUUGAAUCAGAACCAAAACCAAAAACCCUACUCGGUCACUUGUGUGCACAUUCUCAGAUGAUAGCAACCUCUGUUUUUCCUCUGACAUAUAGCCACUCUCUGUGUCACAGUGUUCUUAUUUUCUGGCUAAAGAGUGACUUUUUUCGGCCAUCCCGUAUCUCUGGCCAUUUUCUGGUGAACCUGUCACUCUUUUCAACUAUCUGUGAGUUUGUGACCCAUAUAUCUUUUGUUUUGUUUCUUCUGGGUUUUAUUUUUACUCUCUUUAAAACUGUAUUUUCAUCUCAUUGUGUUUUGCACUUCUAAGUUUUAGGUUUUUUUAAUUCUGAUUGAUCAGAAUAGGCAUACCGACCAUGUAAGUACCCGUGCUAUCCUACUAGUAAUAUUUGGUUGGCCACUGCCUCUUUUUAGAAUUGACAACUAUCGACCCUGUAUAGUAAUGUGGACCAGGCAACUCCAAAACUGGCUUAGGGAGAUGAUGAAUAGCAAGAUGACCACUAAAUAGAUACAAAUUAAAUAAUUUAUAUAUUAUGCAUUAAGCUUAAAUAAUAUAGAAGUAUAGAAUAGCAAGAAAACAAGAUCACAAAUUGAACCUCAUCCUUUUCCUAAAACCAUGAAAUGAAUUCGUGAAAGACAACAAUCUGGAGCAAAGAUGUUCUUAUAAGUCCAUUAUCAAUUUUAGUUGCAACAGCUGCAAAUUGGCACAAUUUCGCCCCGAAGCAAACACUCCACAAAAACAGGAUACUACAGCUUCUCUGGAAUGGCUAGAUUCUGCAAUGCUACACUACACUGCUUGCAGAAGUGCUAUCUUGUGUGAUAGAAAUAGAAUAUUUGAAUGUGGCUUUUGAAUCAUCAUUCUUUUUCUUUCUGUAGUCAAGUUAUUUUGCUGUUAUCUCACCCUUUUUUCAUAUCUAUUUUUCUUUCAAAUGUUUUAUGGUUUUGGUAAGGACGGAUGAUUUGAUAUUCUUAUAUAAACUAUUCAUUUUUGCAUUGAGUAUUGCACAUAUGGGCAAUUGAUUUUCCUUUCCUUUCUAUUAUUACUAUUAUUGAAAUUUGCAUUAUGAUAUCUUUAUUAUGCUGCAUCUUUUUACAUUUGACAUUUCAGUGAGGUCAUUAACACUUAACAUCUAAAAUAUUUUUGUUACUUAACCUUGAUCUUGCAUAGCAUGUUCGAUUC